rnacentral:rRNA from 1 species
GACAGAGGGGGCAAGCGUUGUCCGGAUUGACUGGGCGUAAAGCGCACGUAGGUGGUACCUUAAGUCGCGGGUAAAAGCGGGCCGCUUAACGGCCCGAGGCCUGCGAAACUGGGGCACUCGAGCCAUGCAGAGGUGGGUGGAAUUGCCGGUGUAGUGGUGAAAUGCGUAGAGAUCGGCAGGAACACCAAGGGGGAACCCAGCCCACUGGGCAUGUGCUGACACUGUGGUGCGAGAGCGUGGGGAGCGAACCGG